rnacentral:lncRNA from 1 species
GCCGAACUCCUCGAAUAUGCAUAAAAAUACAUUCACGUCGAGGAGGGUGCAACCAACCGAUGCCAAUCUGAAGGCAAAGGUUAGAAGAAGAUGAAGAAGGGUGGAAUCUCCAUGGGACCCAACCAAACCCAUGCUAAGAGAGAGGCUCCAUCUCUCUGAUCAAGUCUGAAGCCAAAAAACUUCGACAGCAAGUAUGACUCUUACACCCCUCUUACUACUUCUUGUACGUAGAUCCUCAUGGAGAUAAAAGGAGAGAAUUAUCUCCGAUGACCCUAGUC